rnacentral:misc_RNA from 1 species
UCCGAGUUGACCCCGGCAGUCUCUCACGGGUUUCACCCUGCAUGUCAAGCCCAGGUAAGGUUCUUCGCGUCGCAUCGAAUUAAGCCGCAUGCUCCGCCGCUUGUGCGGGCCCCCGUCAAUUCCUUUGAGUUUUAGCCUUGCGGCCGUACUCCCCAGGCGGGGUGCUUAAUGCGUUAGCUUCGGCACGGACGGGGUUGAUAUCCGCCCACACCUAGCACCCAACGUUUACGGCUAGGACUAC